rnacentral:rRNA from 1 species
GAUGAACGCUAGCGACAGGCUUAACACAUGCAAGUCGAGGGGCAGCGGGGGUGAUGGCUUGCCAUCGCCUGCCGGCGACCGGCGCACGGGUGAGUAACACGUAUGCAACCUGCCCGCCACAGGGGGAUAAGCGGAAGAAAUUCCGUCUAAUACCGCGUGACGCGGCGCCGGGGCAUCCCGGUGCCGCCAAAGGGAUUACCGGUGGCGGAUGGGCAUGCGGCGCAUUAGCUAGUCGGCGGGGUAACGGCCCACCGAGGCGACGAUGCGUAGGGGUUCUGAGAGGAAGGUCCCCCACACUGGAACUGAGACACGGUCCAG